UAUGCAGAAGGAUGUAAAAUGUCCAAAAUUGAGUAUUCGUUAGAACGGGUAAUUACUAAGUGAAAAAAAAUCUAUUCUUAAAUCCUAUUCCCUCGAGGUGUUUGUAGCCCUGUAGGUGUAGACGAUAUCCCUGAAAAGUAAAACGCGCUGAGGCUCGAGAAACCACGCGUGUCUGCUGACAUACUCACUCUCUCUCUCUCUCUCUCUCUCUCUCUCUCUCUCUCUCUCUCUCUCUCUCUCUCCCGAGCAUGCAAAUUCUUUGAUUUCUAUCGUAUCUACCUUCUACCUACGCUAACAAACAAUUGAGAAACGGACAGAAUGGCAACCUCGCGUUAUAAUGUACGACAUGUUGAACGUCGAAACUAUAGAUUUACGAUUUUGUUUCGUACGAUCAGCAAUGGUGACAAGAUAGGGGGUGAAGAACGUUGGCGUUAUUCACGAUCCUCGAUAAAUAACGCGAAUUCAGGAUCCUGCGUGCAAGGCGACAAGAAUAUUGGGUUUCGCCAGAGGUAGGAAAAGAAAGAGAGCUUAUUGUAUAAAAAUAAGGAAAGACACCGGCGGUGGAAAUAGACGAUCGGCUAUUGUUGACGCUGGUAGUGUGACGUGACACUGUUUUGGCAGCUAAAGCUAGAAUAAGCUGCUUUUAUUAGCAAGGUUCUGGGAAGAAUGAUCGAGUUUUCAAAAACGUACGAAACAAUGCGAGAGAAACUCUUAUUAUUUGUAUAUUAUAUUUAUUCCUGUGUAAAAACUUCAAUCCAUGAAUUAUUUGUAGUAAUAUCGUGUUUCUAUAAUAAGGAACGAACUCGUACAUGUUUAGUAUUUCUUUUUACUUUCAUUUCUGUAGGAAAGAUUGGAAUUAGCGAUUAAAAUCGAACGAUGAAAUUUAAGUUUAUUUAUUACCUAUACCGAUUUUAUCUUCCUGUGAUGGUAUAUCAAGACGAAAUAAAUGUUUGUAUAUUCAUUAUUUAUUUACAUUUAUUUACGUAUUUUAAGUUUUUGGAAAUAAUUGUUGAAUAGCACAAGAACAAAUUCGACAAAUUUAUUCCUUAUUUAUACUAAUUUCGUUUUUUUUAUAAUAUCAAUUCAGUUUAGUUUAGUUUAGAACAAACUCGGUAUGUUUAAUAAUUAUUCAUUAUUUAUUUACGAAGGAAUCUAUCUAGAAUGUCUAGAAUGCAUCGCAAUAUGCUAGAAGAAAUGUACAUUUAUUUAUUAUUUAUAUCAAUUUAUCAUGUGUCAUUCCAAGAAUCAUGUGUUAUUUAUAUUAAAGUUAUUUCACCCUGUAUAUUAUAUAUAUAUAUAUAUAUAUAUAUAUAUUCAGUGACGAAUGUUUCAAUUCAUUGCUCGGUGAUCCAUUACAUUAGUCAGUCCGUUAGUCCAUCGCCGUCGUACAGCGGAUGCCAAGGCUUAAAAUUGAAACUGAUACGGUAUAUUCGGAACCUAUUCGGACGUUCGAUUAUUAACAACAAUCGAACAACAUCGAACGGUAAAAGAAAACGAAUAUUUUAAAUAUACAUGGUUAACUAUAUCAUACCCUCUGUGUAUUCCUCGAUCAGGUUAUCGUUUUCAAUUCAACGUGCGAGUGAUAUGAAUUAUUGGACGAAUCAAAAGGAGAUUUAACAGCAGCGAAAACAGCGACGAGUAAUAACGAAUCGACAGUAUUCGCAACAAUUAGCAAUGGAAACGAUCGUAUGUGGUUGUUGUUAUUUUCGUCGCGGGUCGCCGGAUCGCCGGAUCGCCAGAUCGCCGGAUCGCCGGAUCGCCAGGUCGCAGGAUCGCCGGGUCGCAGGAUCGCAGGAUCGCAGGAUCGCAGGAUCGCAGGAUCGCAGGAUCGAGUCUGUCACAUAGGAGCUCAAGGAUAGGUCCGAUUGUAGUAAUAUUUUUAUAUCUGCGUGUUUUUUAAAGAAAUAAAUGGACUAUUUUGCUUGGAGUUUGUAUGAGAACUUUGAAAGUGACAGAUUUUUUAAUGCAAUCUUUUAUUUCAUUUCUGGUGGUGAAGUCGAAUCUUUGACUAAUUGGAUGAAAAUAUAUUUUGUUUAGAUAUA